rnacentral:lncRNA from 1 species
CCUUGCUAAAUAGGACCCAUGGGGGAGAGAUUUGAAGAAGCCAUCAGGGUUUUGACUAGAAGGCAGGGGUCCUCAAAGCUGUGAAAGUCUGAUCUAUCAGAGGUGGCUGCCAAGCUGUGCUUUCUUCUGCAGAUGGCAAAAGAAAAAGAUGUGAAACAAGACAUGUUUAAAUGGAAGAGAGAGGAAUGAAAGAGGAAGGCAAGAAUACAAAUAUUUAAGAAAGCUUUAUUUUCCUGAAGCAAAGAAUGACACUUGAAACCGAGGGAAUCUCAAUGUCCACCUUGCAUUUCCAUGACCAGCAAGAGAGGGGAACCCCUACAGGUAAU